rnacentral:rRNA from 1 species
CUACGGGGUGCUGCAGUGGGGAAUAUUGCACAAUGGAGGAAACUCUGAUGCAGCAACGCCGCGUGGAGGAUGACACUUUUCGGAGCGUAAACUCCUUUUAUAUAGGAAGAAGAUGACGGUACUAUAUGAAUAAGCGCCGGCUAACUCCGUGCCAGCAGCCGCGGUAAUACGGAGGGCGCAAGCGUUACUCGGAAUCACUGGGCGUAAAGAGCGUGUAGGCGGAUUAAAAAGUCAGAAGUGAAAUCCUAUAGCUUAACUAUAGAACUGCUUCUGAAACUCUUAAUCUAGAAUAUGGGAGAGGUAGAUGGAAUUUCUGGUGUAGGGGUAAGAUCCAUAGAGAUCAGAAGGAAUACCGAUUGCGAAGGCGAUCUACUAGAACAUUAUUGACGCUGAGACGCGAAAGCGUGGGGAGCAAACAGGAUUAGAUACCCUAGUAGUC